rnacentral:rRNA from 1 species
UGCAGUCGAACGAUGAACCACUUCGGUGGGGAUUAGUGGCGAACGGGUGAGUAACACGUGGGCAAUCUGCCCUGCACUCUGGGACAAGCCCUGGAAACGGGGUCUAAUACCGGAUACUGACCCGCUUGGGCAUCCAAGCGGUUCGAAAGCUCCGGCGGUGCAGGAUGAGCCCGCGGCCUAUCAGCUUGUUGGUGAGGUAAUGGCUCACCAAGGCGACGACGGGUAGCCGGCCUGAGAGGGCGACCGGCCACACUGGGACUGAGACACGGCCCAGACUCCUACGGGAGGCAGCAGUGGGGAAUAUUGCACAAUGGGCGAAAGCCUGAUGCAGCGACGCCGCGUGAGGGAUGACGGCCUUCGGGUUGUAAACCUCUUUCAGCAGGGAAGAAGCGAAAGUGACGGUACCUGCAGAAGAAGCGCCGGCUAACUACGUGCCAGCAGCCGCGGUAAUACGUAGGGCGCGAGCGUUGUCCGGAAUUAUUGGGCGUAAAGAGCUCGUAGGCGGCUUGUCACGUCGGUUGUGAAAGCCCGGGGCUUAACCCCGGGUCUGCAGUCGAUACGGGCAGGCUAGAGUUCGGUAGGGGAGAUCGGAAUUCCUGGUGUAGCGGUGAAAUGCGCAGAUAUCAGGAGGAACACCGGUGGCGAAGGCGGAUCUCUGGGCCGAUACUGACGCUGAGGAGCGAAAGCGUGGGGAGCGAACAGGAUUAGAUACCCUGGUAGUCCACGCCGUAAACGGUGGGCACUAGGUGUGGGCGACAUUCCACGUCGUCCGUGCCGCAGCUAACGCAUUAAGUGCCCCGCC